rnacentral:rRNA from 1 species
UGCCAGCAGCCGCGGUAAUACGAAGGUCCCAAGCGUUGUUCGGAUUUACUGGGCGUAAAGCGUCUGUAGGCGGCGCGGUAAGUCAGAUGUGAAAUCCCGGGGCUCAACCCCGGAACUGCAUCCGAUACUGCCGUGCUAGAGGGUCGGAGGGGAGUCUGGAAUUCUCGGUGUAGCAGUGAAAUGCGUAGAUAUCGAGAGGAACACUAGUGGCGAAGGCGAGACUCUGGACGACACCUGACGCUGAGAGACGAAGGCCAGGGUAGCGAAAAGGAUUAGAUA